CGUUAUGGCGGCUCUGUGCGGGCAGACUUUAUGUCUGGCCGGGUGCCUAUGACCGGUUUUCUCACCCCGCACACAGCUGCCACCUCU
rnacentral:antisense_RNA from 1 species